CCUCUGCGCGUACGGCCUCUGCGUCCCGGGACGCAGCCUGGGGACCUGCCGGGGGCUCAGAGCUGCCGGCCACCGAGGGGGGCUCCCUGCCACGCACACCGCCCCCGUGCCCCUGCGCCUCGCGCACCUCUCCAAGGGGGUGAGUGGGCUGAGCCCCGAUGCCCUUUCGAGCGCCCGCCGGCAGCUGGCCCCGCUCCCCGCCCUCCUCCGAGCGCCGCCGCGCGGUCCCCGCCCCCGCUGGGGUCGCGGGGCUCCCACACGCCUGCCGGAGGGGUCACGGCCCCGGCCAUCCCGGGCUGCACCUCCGUUUCCUCGAGGCGGCGGUCCAGGGCGGGGAGCCUGCCGAUUUCUUCUGUUCCCUCCCACCACCAACCUCCUGGACCCUUCUGGCGCGUUCUGAAAGAAGCCACAAAUAACUUGUUUAAGAGUAACAUGGAAAGCAUAAGCGAAAUGGCUCUCUGCUCUUCCCUAGCAACCUCUGCUUCAGCAAAGAGGCGAGACUGGAAUGAGAGGGAAUGUUGGAGUCGGUCCUUGCUGGCUUGCACAUACUGAAAUGAAAUGGCUCAAAUACUCAAAUACCUAGAACCCUGGAAAAUUAAAAUAGGCACAGAACAAGUGUCCUGGACAUCAUAUCUGCAGCCAGAGGGAGUUGGGAUGGGACCUGGCCUCAGGCUGCCUCCUUCCACAUAGACACAUGCCUUUGGAGCACUGAGAUGUCAUGUAAGAAGUUUGGUAAUCCUUAGGUCACCAUACUGAAGAGACUUCAAGGAGAGAUCACCUCAAGAGAUGCUCCAGGGGCCCCAGCUUUUCCAGACCCCAGUUGGUCAAGCCUGCACAGCACAAGAAGCUUUCAGUAUGAUUCCAGCCUGACUGCAACGUGUGUCCACCCACCCAGGUCCACCCAGCAGCUGCACAAAAACUGCCCUGUUGAGUCCAGCCAACCCCAGAACUGGGAGAG